UACGUAGGGUGCAAGCGUUAUCCGGAAUUAUUGGGCGUAAAGAGCUCGUAGGCGGUUUGUCGCGUCUGCUGUGAAAACUGGAGGCUCAACCUCGCGCCUGCAGUGGGUACGGGCAGACUAGAGUGCGGUAGGGGAGAUUGGAAUUCCUGGUGUAGCGGUGGAAUGCGCAGAUAUCAGGAGGAACACCGAUGGCGAAGGCAGAUCUCUGGGCCGUAACUGACGCUGAGGAGCGAAAGCGUGGGGAGCGAACAGG
rnacentral:rRNA from 1 species